ensembl:lncRNA uncharacterized LOC114766589
AUGGCGACUCUGCAGCAGCUGGCCGCGCUGCUCACGCAGCGCCUGACCCUGGCCGCCGAGGAGAUCUACCGGGACGUGGAGGAGGCCAUCUCGCUGGUCCAGGAGGAGUCUGAGCGGAUCGGGCUGGAGAACCGGCGGCUGAGGGAGCGGCUGCGGGCGCUGGGCGCCGCCGACCGGGACGAGUCUGUGUCCCCUGGAAGCGUGCAAGACCAAGCCGAGGCCGCUGAGGGCCACCAGAGCGACGGCCCUUUGGUUCCGUGUCUGCUGAAGUGCGAGCGGGCCCCUCCCGAACAAAACCAGGACCACACGAGUGACUGCGGACCCGGUCAAACCCCUGCGCCGAUUAAAAAGGAGAUCUCUGCUGUGGCGUGCGACGCACCUCCAGUUUCUGGGAGGCCAGAUCUUCGCGUGGAACGGUCCUGGAGCAUUUACGAUGCGCCAGGGAGCACGUCGGUUCCGGUAGUGCAGCUCGCUGCACCAUCGCCCUCCCGCAGCGCAGAGGACGGAGAACGGACGCCGUCGGCUCCGCCCACGCCUGAGCAUCUGCUGGAGGAAUCGACAAGAGAGCAAAGUGUCACCGCGAACAGCGACAGUGACGGUGACGACAAUGGCAGCGAUGAUAACAGUGGCGAUUCUGACGAUGCCGGCCGUGGCAGUGAUGUUGAUGAGACAGAGGACAACUCUUCACAACCGAAGCGUCCCAGGCUCCGAAAGCGAAGGCGUGACUGCAACUACUUUGACAGUGAGGACAGUUCCAAAGAGGACGGUCAAGCAUCUAAAGAGGAGCGGCGGUGUGGUAAACCCGCCGGUUCCUCCGCUGAAGAAGGCUCUUCCUUGCGCAGGUCCCGCAGAUGGCCGCGGCCUUCAUCCCAAGUCCCCCGGCUGGGCGCCGGGCCCGUGUCCGUCCUGGGCAUGUGCAGGUACUCCAAGAAGCAGUACUGCUUGUUCUGCAGGAAGCCGGUGUUGAAGAUGGCCAGGCACCUGCAGCACCGGCACGCCGACGAGGAGGACGUCGCCAGGGCCUUCAGCCUCCCCAAGAACUCCAAGCAGAGGAAGGUUCUGCUGAGGCUCCUGCGGAACCGAGGGAACCACGUUCACAACGACGAGGUGCUCAAGGUGGGGAAAGGGGUGCUCAUUCCUUCCCGCGCCUCCAGCACGGAGAAGUCCACCGUCUUUCUGCACUGUCCCACUUGCCACGGACUGUUCAACGGGGACAACCUGAACAGACACUUCAGAAGAUGCGCGAUCAGCAUAAAGGAACCGGGAACGGCGGCCAAGCACAAAGUAGGCGACCAGGUCCCGACGUUCUUUCCGGAAGUUCCGAACAAAGUGAGCAAAGAGCUCGCUGAGGUCCUGGAGAGCAUGAAGAAGAACGAAGUUGGAAUGGCGGUCAGGAUGGACAAGCACAUCCUGAACCUGGGACAGAUGUUGUGCAACAGCCUGUCGGGCAGCGAAGGUUCCGAGGAGCUGAGGCGCAGGCACGUGCGGCGGCGUCUCCAGGAAGUGGGCCGGUUCCUGGUCCAGAGCAGGCGCACCACGCCGCUGUGGAGCACGGAGGACUUCUUCGUCCCGUCCAACUGGGACUACGUCGCCGCCGCGGUCCACGUGGCCGCGGCGUACGACGAGAACGCCGAGGUCUUCAACAACGAGGGCGUCCUGAUAAACCUCCGGUGCAGCAUGCCCAAGCUCGCCGCCGUCAUCGAGUCGGACGCGAGGGUGCGGGGGGACGAGGACACGGUGGAGAACGCGAGGGUCUUCACCGAGCGCUGGAAGCGGAGCUUCUUCAUCACGCCGAAGCCGAGGGCUCCCGCCGCCGGCGGCGUCCCGCUGCUGACCUUCACCGAGGACGUGAAGAAGCUGCACGCGCACCUGCUGGUCCGCCAGGCGGCGUGCGAGCGGGCGCUGCUGACCGACUACUCGUCCGGCGCCUGGGCCGACCUCGCCCGGGUCGCCCUGGCGCAGCUGGCCACCUUCAACGCCGGCAGCGGCGCCCUGCGCGCCUCGCAGAUCGGCCUCGGCGCCUUCGUCUCCCGGGAGCUGGCGCCCGGCGACGGCGCCGAGGUCACCGAGUUCGAGCGCGAGCUCGCCCGCUACGCCGCCCGGAUCCAGCUGGGCGGGGACACGUCGCUGCUGGCCCCGCCCGCCGUGCUGAGGAGCAUCGAGAGCCUGGUGGUGAAGAGGGCGCUGUGCGGCGUCCGGUGCGACAACGCGUACCUCUUCGCCCUGCCGAGGACCAAGCACCACCUCUGCGCCGCCGGCUGCAUCGAGGCCUUCGCCAAGGACUGCGGCGCCCGCUACCCCGGGGCCGUGGCGUCCCCGUCCCUGCAGACCGAGGUCGCCACGCUGUGCCGGCUGCUCUACCUCAAGGGCGUCGACCACCUGACCGACUUCAUGGGCCUGGACAUCAAGCGGCACCUCAGGGACGAGUGCUUCAGGAAGGAGACGGUCCAGCUGGCCAAGCUGAGCAAGAUCUUCGUGAUGGUGGAGCGCGGCCUGCAGGACUGCACGGGGAAGAGCGUGGACGAGAUCCACGUCGGCCGGAGCGAUAUCCUGCCGCUGCCGCCCCCCGAGGAACGGCCCCCGAAGGAGCAGCGCCCCGAGAGACCGCCCAAGGCCUCUGCUCCGAUGAAGAAGGUCUCUAGAAACGAAAACAGGCACACGUGGGAGAAAGACGAGAGAGAAGCGGUGGAGACGUACCUGGCCUCGUACAUCCGGUCCGGAAAGACGCCGGCCAAGAAGGCGUGUCUGGCGUGCAUCAGGGCGGCGCCCGAGGCCCUCAGCAGAAGGACGUGGCACGCCGUCAAGUUUUACACCAAAAACCAGAUCACGGCCCUGAGGAGGAAGAAUUUGAAGUUCGACGUCACCCCAGAAACUGUCCCAGGCGGCGAAAUACCCGCAGGACUCGUUUAAAUCAACAUGUAAAUUUCUCUUUUUUUUUUUUUUUUUUUUUUCCUUCUGAGAAAUCAGGUGGUUGUGGUGUUUUUUUUUUUUUUUUUUAAUAAGCCAGAUAUUUUAUAUGUUCAUGUAUGCACUUCAGAAUGAAGAAAUUGCCCAUGUUGCAGAACUCUGUGCUCAACAGUGCUGGAAUGAUGA